GAGUUUGAUCCUGGCUCAGGAUGAACGCUAGCGGGAGGCUUAACACAUGCAAGUCGAGGGGCAGCACGGGAUAGCAAUAUUCUGGUGGCGACCGGCGCACGGGUGAGUAACACGUAUGCAACCUACCUCGUACAGGGGGAUAACCCGGAGAAAUUCGGACUAAUAUCCCAUAAUGAUAUUGAGAGGCAUCUUUUAAUAUUUAAAGCUCAGGCGGUACGGGAUGGGCAUGCGGAACAUUAGCUAGUUGGCAGGGUAACGGCCUACCAAGGCUGCGAUGUUUAGGGGACCUGAGAGGGUUAUCCCCCACACUGGUACUGAGACACGGACCAGACUCCUACGGGAGGCAGCAGUGAGGAAUAUUGGUCAAUGGGCGCAAGCCUGAACCAGCCAUCCCGCGUGAAGGAAGAAGGCGCUAUGCGUUGUAAACUUCUUUUCCAGGGGGAGAAUUUUUCCGUCGUGACGGGAAUUGACGGUACUCUGGGAGUAAGCAUCAGCUAACUCCGUGCCAGCAGCCGCGGUAAUACGGAGGAUGCGAGCGUUAUCCGGAUUUAUUGGGUUUAAAGGGUGCGUAGGCGGAUAGAUAAGUCAGUGGUGAAAUUCUGCAGCUUAACUGUAGACUUGCCGUUGAUACUGUCAGUCUUGAGUAUGGUCAAGGCAGGCGGAAUGUGUAAUGUAGCGGUGAAAUGCUUAGAUAUUACACAGAACACCGAUUGCGAAGGCAGCUUGCUGGGCCAUUACUGACGCUGAUGCACGAAAGCGUGGGGAUCGAACAGGAUUAGAUACCCUGGUAGUCCACGCCGUAAACGAUGAUCACUCGCUGUUGGCGAUACACAGUCAGCGGCUAAGCAAAAGCAUUAAGUGAUCCACCUGGGGAGUACGGCC
rnacentral:rRNA from 1 species